UUAAAUUGAAGAGUUUGAUCAUGGCUCAGAUUGAACGCUGUCGGCAGGCCUAACACAUUCAAGUCGAACUGUAACAGGAAGAAGCUUGCUGAUU
rnacentral:rRNA from 1 species